GACCUCCGAUCAAGCAAGAGGACCCGCUGAAU
rnacentral:rRNA from 1 species